GAAACCGAGUCUUAAUUGGGCGUUAAGUUGCAGGGUAUAGACCCGAAACCCGGUGAUCUAGCCAUGGGCAGGUUGAAGGUUGGGUAACACUAACUGGAGGACCGAACCGACUAAUGUUGAAAAAUUAGCGGAUGACCUGUGGCUGGGGGUGAAAGGCCAAUCAAACCGGGAGAUAGCUGGUUCUCCCCGAAAGCUAUUUAGGUAGCGCCUCGUGAAUUCAUCUCCGGGGGUAGAGCACUGUUUCGGCUAGGGGGCCAUCCCGGCUUACCAACCCGAUGCAAACUGCGAAUACCGGAGAAUGUUAUCACGGGAGACACACGGCGGGUGCUAACGUCCGUCGUGAAGAGGGAAACAACCCAGACCGCCAGCUAAGGUCCCAAAGUCAUGGUUAAGUGGGAAACGAUGUGGGAAGGCCCAGACAGCCAGGAUGUUGGCUUAGAAGCAGCCAUCAUUUAAAGAAAGCGUAAUAGCUCACUGGUCGAGUCGGCCUGCGCGGAAGAUGUAACGGGGCUAAACCAUGCACCGAAGCUGCGGCAGCGAACGUAUCACCCAAGACAACUUUACGGAGUUGACGAUUGACGGAGCGAAGCGACGUCAAAGCGUUCAUUAAAGUCGAGUUGGCUUAGGGAUACGUUCGUUGGGUAGGGGAGCGUUCUGUAAGCCUGUGAAGGUGUGUCGUGAGGC
rnacentral:rRNA from 1 species